AGGGAAUCUUCCGCAAUGGACGAAAGUCUGACGGAGCAACGCCGCGUGAGUGAAGAAGGCCUUCGGGUCGUAAAGCUCUGUUGUCAGGGAAGAACAAGUGCCGGAGUCACUGCCGGCACCUUGACGGUACCUGACCAGAAAGCCACGGCUAACUACGUGCCAGCAGCCGCGGUAAUACGUAGGUGGCAAGCGUUGUCCGGAAUUAUUGGGCGUAAAGCGCGCGCAGGCGGUCCUUUAAGUCUGAUGUGAAAUCCCGCGGCUCAACCGCGGGCGGCCAUUGGAAACUGGGGGACUUGAGUGCAGAAGAGGAAAGCGGAAUUCCACGUGUAGCGGUGAAAUGCGUAGAGAUGUGGAGGAACACCAGUGGCGAAGGCGGCUUUCUGGUCUGUAACUGACGCUGAGGCGCGAAAGCGUGGGGAGCAAAC
rnacentral:rRNA from 1 species